CGAAGAACCUUACCUGGGUUUGACAUACACCGGAAAACCGUAGAGAUACGGUCCCCUUGUGGUCGGUGUACAGGUGGUGCAUGGCUGUCGUCAGCUCGUGUCGUGAGAUGUUGGGUUAAGUCCCGCAACGAGCGCAACCCUUGUCUUAUGUUGCCAGCACGUGAUGGUGGGGACUCGUAAGAGACUGCCGGGGUCAACUCGGAGGAAGGUGGGGACGACGUCAAGUCAUCAUGCCCCUUAUGUCCAGGGCUUCACACAUGCUACAAUGGCCAGUACAGAGGGCUGCGAGACCGUGAGGUGGAGCGAAUCCCUUAAAGCUGGUCUCAGUUCGGAUCGGGGUCUGCAACUCGACCCCGUGAAGUCGGAGUCGCUAGUAAUCGCAGAUCAGCAACGCUGCGGUGAAUACGUUCCCGGGCCUU
rnacentral:rRNA from 1 species